rnacentral:rRNA from 1 species
AUUGAACGCUGGCGGCAUGCCUUACACAUGCAAGUCGAACGGCAGCACGGGUGCUUGCACCUGGUGGCGAGUGGCGAACGGGUGAGUAAUACAUCGGAACAUGUCCUGUAGUGGGGGAUAGCCCGGCGAAAGCCGGAUUAAUACCUCAUACGAUCUACGGAUGAAAGCGGGGGACCUUCGGGCCUCGCGCUAUAGGGUUGGCCGAUGGCUGCUUAGCUAGUUGGUGGGGUAAAGGCCUACCAAGGCGACGAUCAGUAGCUGGUCUGAGAGGACGACCAGCCACACUGGGACUGAGACACGGCCCAGACUCCUACGGGAGGCAGCAGUGGGGAAUUUUGGACAAUGGGCGAAAGCCUGAUCCAGCAAUGCCGCGUGUGUGAAGAAGGCCUUCGGGUUGUAAAGCACUUUUGUCCGGAAAGAAAUCCUUGGCCCUAAUACGGUCGGGGGAUGACGGUACCGGAAGAAUAAGCACCGGCUAACUACGUG